AUUGAACGCUGGCGGAAUGCUUAACACAUGCAAGUCGAACGGCAGCAUGGUGUGUAGCAAUACACACUGAUGGCAAGUGGCGGACGGGUGAGUAACGCGUAGGGAUCUACCCUGUCGUGGGGGACAACCCGGGGAAACUCGGGCUAACACCGCAUACUACUCUGAGGAGGAAAGCUGGCUCGCCAGAUCUGGCCCUAUGGGAGGAACCUGCGUCCGAUUAGCUAGCUGGUGAGGUAAAAGCUCACCAGGGCGAUGAUCGGUAGCUGGUCUGAGAGGAUGACCAGCCACACUGGGACUGAGACACGGCCCAGACUCCUACGGGAGGCAGCAGUGGGGAAUAUUGGACAAUGGGGGCAACCCUGAUCCAGCAAUUCCGCGUGUGUGAAGAAGGCCUUCGGGUUGUAAAGCACUUUGGACGGGGAAGAAGGCAUUCCGUUUAAGAGAUGGGAUGUUUAACGGUACCCGUAGAACAAGCACCGGCUAACUCUGUGCCAGCAGCCGCCGUAA
rnacentral:rRNA from 1 species